GACAGAGGGUGCAAACGUUGUUCGGAUUUACUGGGCGUAAAGCGCGUGUAGGCGGCUUUGCAAGUCGGAUGUGAAAGCCCACGGCUCAACCGUGGAAGUGCAUCCGAAACUGCACGGCUUGAGUCUCGGAGAGGAAGGUGGAAUGCUUGGUGUAGAGGUGAAAUUCGUAGAUAUCAAGCAGAACACCUGCGGCGAAGGCGGCCUUCUGGACGAUGACUGACGCUGAGACGCGAAAGCGUGGGGAGCAAACAGG
rnacentral:rRNA from 1 species